rnacentral:rRNA from 1 species
UACGUAGGGUCCGAGCGUUGUCCGGAAUUACUGGGCGUAAAGAGCUCGUAGGUGGUUUGUCGCGUUGUUCGUGAAAACUCACAGCUCAACUGUGGGCGUGCGGGUGAUACGGGCAGACUGGAGUACUGCAGGGGAGACUGGAAUUCCUGGUGUAGCGGUGGAAUGCGCAGAUAUCAGGAGGAACACCGGUGGCGAAGGCGGGUCUCUGGGCAGUAACUGACGCUGAGGAGCGAAAGCGUGGGGAGCGAACAGG